rnacentral:rRNA from 1 species
CCUACGGGUGGCAGCAGUAGGGAAUAUUGCUCAAUGGGGGAAACCCUGAAGCAGCAACGCCGCGUGGAGGAUGAAGGUUUUCGGAGUUUAAACUUCUUUUGGUAGAAAAGUUAAUGACGGUAUCUAAAGAGUAAGCACCGUCUAACUCGAUGACAGCAGCCGUGGUAAUACGGAGGGUGCAGGCGUUACUCGGAUUAACUGAGCGUAAAGAGCGUGUAGGCGGGAUGGCAAGUCAGAUGUGAAAUCCUAUGGCUUAACCAUAGAACUGCGUUUGAAACUGUUAUACUAGAGUAUGGGAGAGGUAGGUGGAAUGCAUGGUGUAGCGGUAAAAUCCGUAGAGAUCAAGAGGAAUACUCAUUGCGAAGGCGACCUGCCAGAACAUAACUGACGCUGAUGCGCGAAAGCGUGGGGAGCAAACAGGAUUAGAUACCCGAGUAGUC